GCGAUCAAUUUAAUUAGUCGUUAAAAUCUUAGUCGCUAAAUCACGAUUACAUUAUUACUGGCAGAACAAAACUCAAAUUUUCUAUCUAAAUUAAAUUACACUUUGAGUGCUACUCUAUGUGGAUUUUUCACAUCCCGAAAGGAUUACUAACUAACACGCUACAUUAUUAUUGGCUAUUACAUUAUAAUAGAUCUAAAUAAGCUAAGAAAAUUAAAGAAAUAUAACGAAUUUCUAGCUAGUUUUCUACUCUACAACAAAUUAAUACACACAUACACCCGAAAACACAUAAACCAAAUUAAGAUUAAAAUUCAUUCCUAGCUAGAUUACAUGGAUCAUACAUCAUAUAUAUUUACGUACCUCAUAAUUAUAUCUAAUUAACCUUCAGCUACUCCUCUUCAUCGUCACCUCUAAGAUUUACAAAAUGUAAUUCUCUCACCACUCCUCAGUACAAAAAAGGAAUGGAAGAAACUACUGAACAAUAUUUUAUAUAGAUAGAGCAAGAAAAAUGGUGAUGAUGAUGAUCAUGUAUGUAUCUCUGUAUCAAACUCAAGCAUCUCAGGGGCCUCCAAGAUGCUCUCCAAAGAAGGCUUCCAUGGUCCUUGUUGUUGUUGUCUUGCUCUCUCAAUUUGUUGUAGCACUUGUUCAAGCUUCAACCCUCCUCUUCUUCCUCCUUUCUCACCAUUCAAUUCAAGUAUCAACCAUUUCAACUCUUCUUUUGUCAACACUACUUUCACCCUUCCACCACCACUUCUCUUACCUCCUUCUCCUUGCUUCUGCUGCUUCACUUCUUCUUCACCUUGUUCCAUCAAAGUGCAUGUCUCCAUGCAAUUCCCCAUCACUUUCCUAAUAAUAAUAUAAUGAUACCACUAAUUAAAUCAAACUUUGAUUCAAUUUUCUUCCAGAGAUAGUGAAGACUUUCAGGCCUUUAAUUUGAAUCAGGGGAACAAAACUAUAACAAUAAUAAUAACGAGGAUGGAGGGAAGAAUGGAGAGAGAUAUAUAGGUAUUUAUAUAAAUAAAUACACUUCAAUUAAUGGGCUCUGUUUAACUAAUUAUUAUUAUUAUAACUAUAGCAAAAUAAUGAAAU
rnacentral:lncRNA from 1 species